AACGAACGCUGGCGGCAUGCCUAACACAUGCAAGUCGAACGAGACCUUCGGGUCUAGUGGCGCACGGGUGCGUAACGCGUGGGAACCUGCCCUUAGGUUCGGAAUAACUCCCCGAAAGGGGUGCUAAUACCGGAUAAUGUCUUCGGACCAAAGAUUUAUCGCCUUUGGAUGGGCCCGCGUUGGAUUAGCUAGUUGGUAGGGUAAAAGCCUACCAAGGCGACGAUCCAUAGCUGGUCUGAGAGGAUGAUCAGCCACACUGGGACUGAGACACGGCCCAGACUCGUACGGGAGGCAGCAGUGGGGAAUAUUGGACAAUGGGCGAAAGCCUGAUCAAGCAAUGCCGCGUGAGUGAUGAAGGCCUUAGGGUUGUAAAGCUCUUUUACCCGGGAUGAUAAUGACAGUACCGGGAGAAUAAGCGCCGGCUAACUCCGUG
rnacentral:rRNA from 1 species